rnacentral:rRNA from 1 species
CCCGUCACACCACGGAAGUUGGGGGCGCCCGAAGCCACUUAGCUAACCCUUUUGGGAAGCGAGUGUCGAAGGUGAAAUCAAUAACUGGGGUGAAGUCGUAACAAGGUAAC